CUGGNNAGUAACUGACGCUGAGAAGCGAAAGCAUGGGUAGCAAACAGGAUUAGAUACCCUGGUAGUCCAUGNNGUAAACGGUGGGUACUAGGUGUGGGGCUCCUUCCANGGACUCCGUGNCGUAGCUAACGCAUUAAGUACCCCGCNNGGGGAGUACGGCCGCAAGGCUAAAACUCAAAGAAAUUGACGGGGGCCCGCACAAGCGGCGGAGCAUGUGGAUUAAUUCGAUGCAACGCGAAGAACCUUACCUGGGUUUGACAUACACCGGAAACCUGCAGAGAUGUAGGCCCCCUUGUGGUCGGUGUACAGGUGGUGCAUGGCUGUCGUCAGCUCNUGUCGUGAGAUGUUGGGUUAAGUCCCGCAACGAGCGCAACCCUUAUCUUAUNUUGCCAGCGCGUAAUGGCGGGGACUCGUGAGAGNCUGCCGGGGUCAACUCGGNNGAAG
rnacentral:rRNA from 1 species